rnacentral:rRNA from 1 species
GACAGAGGGUGCAAACGUUGUUCGGAAUUACUGGGCGUAAAGCGCGUGUAGGCUGCUCUGCAAGUCGGAUGUGAAAGCCCUGGGCUCAACCUAGGAAGUGCAUUCGAAACUGCAGAGCUGGAGUCCUGGAGAGGAAGGCGGAAUUCUCGGUGUAGAGGUGAAAUUCGUAGAUAUCGAGAGGAACACCGGUGGCGAAGGCGGCCUUCUGGACCGACAUUGACGCUGAGGAGCGAAAGCCAGGGGAGCAAACGGG